UACGUAGGGUGCAAGCGUUGUCCGGAAUUAUUGGGCGUAAAGAGCUCGUAGGCGGUUUGUUGCGUCGGCCGUGAAAACCUGCAGCUUAACUGUGGGCGUGCGGUCGAUACGGGCAUCACUGGAGUUCGGCAGGGGAGACUGGAAUUCCUGGCGUAGCGGUGAAAUGCGCAGAUAUCAGGAGGAACACCGGUGGCGAAGGCGGGUCUCUGGGCCGAUACUGACGCUGAGGAGCGAAAGCGUGGGGAGCAAACAGG
rnacentral:rRNA from 1 species